AUACUGCUCAGAGAACUUGUUUACAAUAAGGUGCUGCUGUUUGGAUUAGCAACAACGAUCGUUAAACACACUGGUGCGCCCGCUGAGUGACGGCUACUAUUUGAGGAAGUGCAGAAUACUGUACUACGUGUGUGGUUGGGCAGCCUGUUUUAGCCAAGCAGCUGUUUUCCAGGUUGUAGUUCUCACACUUAUCCUGGAUCUCCGCUUUCUCAUGCAGCCUGUAAUCUCUCUCUGCACACACACGUGCACACACCUGCAAAUGCAUGCACACGCACGCGUAAAAAGAGGCAGGUGGUCUCCGUCAACCUGCUGAAUGGAGCAUCACUCAAUGAUGCCUCAAAAGGACCACUGUCUUCCUCAUCCACCAUUUGAUUUGGCUCUUCUCCUUUCAGCCUGCCUACACAACCUCUACUUGGUUUCAGCCUCACUUGCCAGCCCCCCCCCCCCCCCCCCCCCCCCCUCCACCGUGGAAGUAAAAGGUCCCCAAGUGGUCCCCGAUGAAGGAUGAGCCUGUUACAUGCGCCGCCACUAUUUCUUUUGGACUAAAUCUCGCAUGUGUCAUGCAUGUGCGCGCCUGGCCUCUUCCAUUCAUCAGUAGGCAUGCACGUAAAAGCUCAAUAACUGCGUUUUUUUUUUUGGGUCAGAGACGUCCUCCACUGGUGUCACAUUUGCAUUAGGCAAACAGCGCAAUCCAUCCUCCCCACACAAGGGAGAAGUGACAUCCUCUCUAGGUCAUUCCUCCAAAGAAGAACGACUGUGAAAACUGUGUAAAUGGCCUGAAUGAACAUCCAUCCACCCAUUUUCCAUAAGGCUUGUCACCACGGGGGUGGCGGUCAGGCCGGAGCCUAUCUCAGCAGUCAUCGGGCAGCAGGCGGCCUGAACGGGUUGCCAGCCAAUCGCAGGGCACACAGAGACAAACAACCAUUCGGAAUAACGAUACGAGUUAUGAGUGCUAAAACGGAGAGCAUGCAAGAUAGCUAGCAGGCUUGUUUUGGCUGAAUUAAAACAACCCAACCAAACAUUUUAUCAUUUUUUAUAGAAAUAGGAAAACUCUACGUAAACCUUUAUACUGUACUUGUCCUUGUUGACUAUUGCGGUAUCCAGUUUGAGGUCGGUGAGUUUAAGACUAGUAUUUUUCUUUUCAGACAGCAUUAUGUGUAUAAAUGUCAAGUGUCUUGCACAUGUAUUUAUUUUGGAAUAUUUCCACAUUGUCAAACGCCUGCAAGAACUACAUACAAAUUUGUGAACAAUUUCACUGUUGCACCUGAAUAAACACUAUGUUAUUUCUGGUCUAA